GAUUAACGCUAGCGGCAGGCCUAAUACAUGCAAGUCGAACGGUAACAGGGUAGCAAUACCGCUGACGAGUGGCGCACGGGUGCGUAACGCGUAUGCAAUCUACCUUUAACAGGGGAAUAGCUCAGAGAAAUCUGAAUUAAUACCGCAUAAUAUAGUGAGUGGGCAUCCACUUACUAUCAAACCUUCGGGGUUAAGAUGAGCAUGCGUAUCAUUAGCAGUUGGUGAGGUAACGGCUCACCAAGGCUACGAUGAUUAGGGGGUCUGAGAGGAUGAUCCCCACACUGGUACUGAGACACGGACCAGACUCCUACGGGAGGCAGCAGUAAGGAAUAUUGGUCAAUAGACGAAAGUACUGAACCAGCCAUGCCGCGUGCA
rnacentral:rRNA from 1 species